UACGAAGGGGGCUAGCGUUGCUCGGAAUUACUGGGCGUAAAGGGCGCGUAGGCGGAUGUCUAAGUUGGGGGUGAAAUCCCGGGGCUCAACCUCGGAAUUGCCUUCAAAACUGGACAUCUUGAGUUCGGGAGAGGUGAGUGGAACUCCGAGUGUAGAGGUGAAAUUCGUAGAUAUUCGGAAGAACACCAGUGGCGAAGGCGACUCACUGGCCCGAUACUGACGCUGAGGCGCGAAAGCGUGGGGAGCAAACAGG
rnacentral:rRNA from 1 species